GGGCGUUGGUGCAGCGGCCCAAGCACGUCUCGCGCGUGCUGAACCGGCGGUUCGACGCCGACGACGUCCC
rnacentral:tRNA from 1 species